GUGAUGAAAUUAAUUAAGCUAUAAAAAUCUUAGUGCAACUUGUUGCGCGGGAACAAAGAUCGUUCUUAGCGUUAAUUUCUAUCUAAGGAAGUGCAACAUUACCUUGAUCCUUCCUACCCUUUAUUUUGUUGCUUCAUUGCCUAUGUACCAUUUGCCGGGUUCAGUGUGCUGUUGUUGCUGUACAGGUCCAUCAUCUAAGGGGACAACAGCCUUGGCCACAGUCAGCACCACGAAAGAAACCAUUCCAGGUUGAUGGGAUUGGCAGGAUGAGAGCGGACAGCGACAGUGCUAGGCGCAAUGGAAUGGCGCCGACGACUGCUCAUUGGCUCAUUGCGAAGGACCCAGAGAAGCCAGUUGCAGUGGAUCGGCGAGACCGGGCAGGAUGGGAGCGAACAGCGGCAUCACCCAAAAGCAUGAGAUCGUGGAGAGUACCGCCUUCCGUCGACCUUCCGCGAGGGUGAAUACCGUUGCGGGUGGUAGACGCGGUCCGUGCGAGAGCGAAGCGAACAGCGGUUCUGUCUGAAGGCUCCACGAAGAUACCGAAGGACUGCGCACGAAUGAGAAGGACCAGCCUGCCGAUAGCCAACCCCUUCCAGGAGGAUCGGGGAGACAGGACAGGAGCGAACAGCGACCGUGCUAGGGGCAACGGAAUGGCGCCGGCGAGGGCUCAUUGGCUCGUGGCGAAGGACGCAGAGAAGCCUGUUGGAAGUGGAUAAGCGAGACCGGGCAGCUCGGGAGCGAACAGCGGCAGUGACCAAAGCAAUGGUAUCGUGGAGACCAUUGCCUACACUCUACCUUCCGCGAGGGUGAAUGCCGUCACGGACGAUAAACGUGACCCGCGCGAGACGGAAACGAACAGCGGUUGUAUCUGAAGCCACAUAAGGAUACCGAAGACACUGUGCAUGGCUUAUGGGAAGGCCAAGCCUGCCAAGAGCAACAGAGUCGAGGAGGAACCGUGGUGUCGCGGCAGAACGGGAGCGAGCAGCGACGGUCCCCGGAGCAGCGCGAUCGCGGCGACCACCGUCUUCCCCUCGUCUACUUUUCCCGAGGGCGAUCGCCAUCGGGGGAUGUAGACCUCGGUCGGGGGCGAGACCGAAGCGAACAGCGGUGGCGUCGGGCCCACAUCUGGAUAUCGAAGACUGGCUGCCCACCGCUUAGGGGAAGGUCGACCCUACCCAGUGCACGUGUGAACCAAGGCUGUCGGGAAGGUCGGGCAACACGUGAGCGAGCAGCAGGGACGCUGGAAGCGCCAUACAAAUGCCAAGAAGCUGCUGGCAGGCGGAAUGGGGCGGGACCAAAGCGAACAGCGAUGCCGUCUGAAGCGACACGAGGUCACCGAAGACAGGAGCGACCAGGAGCACAAAGACUGACCUGGCCAGAGUCGUAAGUGCUGCGUAACCACCUUUGAAACUGUCGAUAAUGGCUGCCGACGCUUGGCUUCUCCUAUAAUCGCAGGUUACGAAAAAAAAAAAAGAUAUUGCAACGGGUGGCUGCGGGAACCGUUGUGUGUGACGAGUGUGACGGUGUGCGCUUGUUGCGCCAUAUUGCGCUGAAAUCAUAUUGCGCUGAAGUGCAAAGCGACAUGCGCACAUGCAAAAUGGAAAGAGACGCAAACACAGCGCUUGCUUUAACUGCGCCUACUUCGGUUAGUGUUGAGACAGCCCGACGUGGCUGUCUCAGCGUUGCCUAAAGGGAGCGAGCGCUUCUCCGUCCUUCCUUUCUUCGGGUCAAUGUCCACCACACGAUGCACCACACCUACUCGUUAUGUCGCUGAGAAUGUCCUACUCACAGCACUAAAAGGAAAUUUGCAGCUAGGGUCCUGGUGCGCUGCCAGCAAGUAGUGGGUAAAUUAUGGACUGAGCAUUUGAUGUAAUUUCUACCACUCGAAGGCUCUGCGAUGCGUAACGAAUAAAUGUGAAU